AGUGAACGCUGGCGGUAGACCUAACACAUGCAAGUCGAACGGCAGCACAGUAAGAGCUUGCUCUUACGGGUGGCGAGUGGCGGACGGGUGAGGAAUACAUCGGAAUCUACCUUUUCGUGGGGGAUAACGUAGGGAAACUUACGCUAAUACCGCAUACGACCUACGGGUGAAAGCAGGGGAUCUUCGGACCUUGCGCGAUUGAAUGAGCCGAUGUCGGAUUAGCUAGUUGGCGGGGUAAAGGCCCACCAAGGCGACGAUCCGUAGCUGGUCUGAGAGGAUGAUCAGCCACACUGGAACUGAGACACGGUCCAGACUCCUACGGGAGGCAGCAGUGGGGAAUAUUGGACAAUGGGCGCAAGCCUGAUCCAGCCAUACCGCGUGGGUGAAGAAGGCCUUCGGGUUGUAAAGCCCUUUUGUUGGGAAAGAAAAGCAGCAGGUUAAUACCCCGCUGUUCUGACGGUACCCAAAGAAUAAGCACCGGCUAACUUCGUG
rnacentral:rRNA from 1 species